rnacentral:misc_RNA from 1 species
AACCUAGCACACCUGCGGUGUGUACCUGCGGAAGGAUCAUUACCGAGUUAGGGUCUCUCCAGGCCCGACCUCCGACCCCUUGUUUACUUAUACCAUGUUGCUUUGGUGGGCCCGCCUUGAUGGCCACCGGGGACUUUUUAGAUCUCUGGUCAGUGUCCGCCAGUAGCCUUCUUAAAAAUUCUUUUUAUAACUAUGUUGUCUGAGUAUAACAAAUAAAUUGUUUAAAACUUUCAACAACGG